rnacentral:lncRNA from 1 species
GCCCGAUGAUGCCAAAAUUAGAUGUUCCAAGCUGCACACAUGCUACACUGAUGUUUGGAUGACAUGGGGUCAUCAGUGACCCCACAAUCACAUGGAGCAGUGCCAAACUCUCAGAGUAGAUAAGUCUAUUAAUAAUUUUUUUACUUGUUUUAAAUAUUUAUAUUUAGAAGCUUCAUAUGUUUAGGUUUGAGUCCAAGAAGG